AAAUGUAAAGGCCUUUAGUCUCAUAUAACUUAUAAAAAUGCGCUAUUAAAAACUUAAAAAAAAGAAGCAAUUCAUUUAUCUACCAAAAAUGUACAAUAUAUACAUAAUUCAUUUAUUUAAAAAAAUGUGUAAAACAUUCACCAGUCUUUUUGAACUUAAAAAUAAUUUAUUUAAAAAAUUAAUGACUUCAGAAAUUUAGAAAAGAUAAAUAUCAAAUUCGUUUUUAAUGUUGCACAUGUUUUUCCUAUUAGUGUAAACUCUAGAAAUAAUUAAUUAGUUUACAUAUUCGUAUGUAAAAACAUGAUUUUUCCUACAGUAACAGGGUUAGACCCAAUAACACAACGCUUUUCAGAAAGUAAAUUUUGGCAUUUGAGAAUAUUCUCUCAGACGAGGCACUAAUAGCCGGUGUUGCUAAGAUUUUUAAACUCAAUUUAAAAAGUAACGGAAAUUUAAGUUUAUUUAAUUCCCACCAUUGUAAAACAUCAAAAUUGUCGUGCAUUACUUCGUUAAUAUUUUCGUAUAAUAGUAAUUCAUUUUGAACUCGAUCGAGAUUACGGCCAGUACAAUGCAGGCAAACAUGUUGUGGGAAAAACCCUUCCGUUUAUCUUCUGUAUUUGCUUGCUUAGCUGAACACGAUGGGUGCAUCCUGUUCUGUUAAAAGAAUGAGAAAAACAAUGAAUUCACAUAACAAUAAGUGACGAUCACACACUAUUCCACUACUAAGCGAACGCUAACGCUUUGCGUUCACUGCUGGUUGAUGAUAUGAGUGUGAGUUGGGUUUGUUUAUGAGAGGAAUGAGCUGAGUCUACCUGCUAGCGAUAAACAACAACUCAAAAUGUCUUCUCUGUAUCUGCAUUCACAUAAUUCCAACUCAGCGCCGGCGCUCAACUCGAGUUAUGAGAUGAAUUUAUAAAUUCUCUGUUGCAUUCAUAGCGUGAAUUAAUUCUUGCAACCCUUUAGUAUGUACAGCCGUUUAAAACGUACUGAUGCUGCGAUCAGUAUUAGACUGUCGACGAUUUAAUUGAAAAUAAAUUUUAUUUUUUCAAGUUGUACCCGGGGUAUAAUUUUACCGCGUAUGUAUGUAUGUACGUAUUUAUAAUGCGACCGUAUGUACUCGUACAUAGGUACGCGUGUACAUAUGUAUGUAUAUUCGCCGUACGGAUAAACCGCGAAAGGAAAAUUAUCGGACACUUAACGUGGGUGGAUAUUUAUGUAUAUAUGUAAAUAUAUGAGUUAAGCUUUCUCUCGUUGAGAAAGCUAAAAAAAACAAAAUUGUUUUCGCGUUUAACAACGGUGCUGCAUGGAUGGCAGCGCGACCGCGUUACUUUAUUGAUUGACAUAAAAUGUGUCUAAAAUUAGUGCUUAACAUAAUUUUAUACCUAAAUUCCGUCUAGCCUGCAGUGUGGUGGCGUGAUGCACUUCCAGGAAUUGGCUUGUGAAGGUGCAUAAGCAUUUCGUGUGCGCGUGCCGGAAGUCAAGUCGUUGUUACUGAAACUGCUGCGGCGAUUUGCUUAAGUCAGUAAGUUAUGUAGUAGUUGCGCAAGUUAUGUUGUCGAAUUGUUGAUAGGUGUUGUAUUAACUCUUCCCCUUUUAGUUCGAUCGUCCGCGAUCGGUGUUAUUGUUGGGCUGCGAUGUUGUAAUUUGCGGGAUCGGGCCUUUCUGCACGUUUGCAAUAAAUUCUGCUUCUGGGCUAGGCGAAAUGUACAUUUUUUGUUUUUCUUUGAUAAUAAAAAAUAAAAUUGCAGUAGUGACUACUAUAAUUAAAACAAUUGAAAUAUCAGAACUUAAGCUAAUUAUUGAGGAGGGGAAACUUUAGUAUACGAUCCCACGAUUUCAGGGUUAAAAGUGGUAUGGUUGGAUAGAGCUGAUGCUCCAGAUUAAGAAAAUAUAUAAUUGUUGCCGCCGCAAACUUAUAGUUUCCAAAAUAUUUGCAUUUAAAGUUGAAAAUUUUGCAAAUUUUAUCUUGCAAUUUCUCGAUUGCUAGUAAUUAUUUAAUUCAUAUUAUGCACUUUUUAUGCACUUACACUUCACUACAUUGUUUCUACAUAUUUUUUUUCCAGUAAUUAUUUAGUUAUUUGCUUAAAAUAAGCAUUUUAUAUUUUACACAAUUUUCAUUCCAUGCACAAUAACAAAAGUAUUCCGUGUUUACAGAUAUUAAGUGUUGCCAUAAUUACACAUAUAUCAAACGAAUAAGAAUGGAUAUAAAAACUCAAACGCAGAAAACAAAUACUAUCUGAAAUAAAUUUUCCAUUGUAAUAAGAAAAGUUUUAAGGCUUUAUUGGCGGCCUUCGGCCGCGCUUCAAAAAAAAUAACUCUGGCCAAUCCAACACCGGGGUGUAUCAAGUUUUUUUUUAAAUUAAAACUCCUUUUCGCGUUGGCGGCCUUCGGCCGCGCUUCAAAAGAAUAACCCUGGCCGAUCCAACACCGGGGUGUAUAAAGUUUUUUUUAAGUAAAACUCCUUUUCGCGUUGGCGGCCUUCGGCCGCGCUUCAAAAAAAUAACCCUGGCCGAUCCAACACCGGGGUGUAUCAAAAAUCUUGAUAUAUCAAGAAAAAGGGCAAUGAUUUAUGUAUUUGGGGUAUAGUCCUAUUUUUUAUUCAUUUUUAUUCGUUUGAUAAAUGUGUAAUUAUGGCAACACUUAUUAUCUGUCAACACGGAAUACUUUUGUUAGUGUACAUGAAAUGAAAAUUGUGUAAAAUAUAAAAUGCUU